AGAGACUGCAGGCUGUGCAGUGGAGGGGAGAGGGGAGACUUGCAGGGUCUGCCAAGCUGAAUGCGGGCAGGGAAGGAGGAGGCCUGGUGGCUGGCUGAGAAGCUCCACGUGCUGAACAGAGAAUACGGGCACACCAUAGGCUUACGGCCCCGGCAACAGAGAUACAGAAGCAAGCAUGGGCAGAGUGUGCUGUGCAGAAGCAAGAGGCUCAGCAGAAGCGCUAAGAACAAGGUAAACAUAACUACCCUCAAAAACCGGACCCAAGUGCCACUUCUUUCUCGGAAGCUCCUCUGACCAUGCCCAUCUGAGCAAUCUCUUGGCCACACCCCGACUGCAGGACUUCUGUCACCCAGCUUUGCACUGGUGCACAUCUUGGAACCUGUAUCUGCUACUUAGCCUGUGAGGCUCUGGAAUAAAGAGAUGCAUAAAGAAGGUCCCUAUCAUUACCAGGUUUCCUGUAGCCAUAACACCUCAGUGUGUGCUAUGCACCUUACAGUGAGAAGGGAGCUAGCUGGACGCUCUGCAGAAGAGGCUCUAUCUAAUGGGCACCGUGGAGGACGUUAAUCAGG
rnacentral:lncRNA from 1 species